rnacentral:misc_RNA from 1 species
UUGUGGAGGAGGACGCCGAAGGUGGGGCUGAUGACUGGGGUGAAGUCGUAACAAGGUAGCCGUACCGGAAGGUGCGGCUGGAUCACCUCCUAACAGGGAGACAAAACUGAUUAUGAUGUCUGAUUUUAAAACUUAGGCCUUAAUCCUGUCACCUUAGGUCGAUCGGUACCUCAGAUUAAUAACUUUAAAAACUGAGAAAUCAUCUUUUAAGAAAUUUAGUUUUAGUUCCUAAACUUGUCUAGGUCACACCCAACAAGCAUUUCUCCUGGGCUAUUAGCUCAGGUGGUUAGAGCGCACCCCUGAUAAGGGUGAGGUCCCUGGUUCAAGUCCAGGAUGGCCCAUUCGUUGUUGGGGGUAUAGCUCAGUUGGUAGAGCGCCUGCUUUGCAAGCAGGAUGUCAGCGGUUCGAGUCCGCUUACCUCCACUGAUUAACUGCCUGAUAACUCAAUUUGGAGAUUGUCGUUUGUUGAAUGUGAUUUAGAGUUGUUCCACUGAAUGGAACCUAGCUUCCUAUCAUUCCUCGAAGUUUCGAAGGUUGAUAAGACGCUGGGCUCACUGAAUAUUUAUCAAUUAUAUUCAGUUUGAUUCAGCAGAACCUUGACAACUGCAUAGGAAAGUCUGGAAAAGAAUUAAAGCAUCUCAUAGAUGCAUAUAAAACUAAAUUUUCAGAAUUAUCUGAAAAAUAAUUUUUUUUAUAUGUUCAAUUCUUGAGUUAGAGCAUAAUUAUCUAUAAAUUAAAUAUUUGCUUUUUUAAGUAAAUAACUAAUAAUUAUAGAUGUUUAAAGGUCAAGCUACAA